rnacentral:rRNA from 1 species
GACGAACGCUGGCGGCGUGCCUAAUACAUGCAAGUAGAACGCACAGGAUGCACCGUAGUUUACUACACCGUAUUCUGUGAGUUGCGAACGGGUGAGUAACGCGUAGGUAACCUGCCUGGUAGCGGGGGAUAACUAUUGGAAACGAUAGCUAAUACCGCAUAAGAACAUUUACUGCAUGGUAGAUGUUUAAAAGGUGCAAAUGCAUCACUACCAGAUGGACCUGCGUUGUAUUAGCUAGUAGGUGAGGUAACGGCUCACCUAGGCGACGAUACAUAGCCGACCUGAGAGGGUGAUCGGCCACACUGGGACUGAGACACGGCCCAGACUCCUACGGGAGGCAGCAGUAGGGAAUCUUCGGCAAUGGGGGGAACCCUGACCGAGCAACGCCGCGUGAGUGAAGAAGGUUUUCGGAUCGUAAAGCUCUGUUGUUAAGGAAGAACGAGUGUGAGAAUGGAAAGUUCAUACUGUGACGGUACUUAACCAAAAG